GCUUCCGUGGCGCAAUAGGCAGCGCUUUCGGCUGUUAACCGAAAGGUUGGUGUUCGAGCACACCCGGGAGCG
rfam:Nippostrongylus brasiliensis genome assembly, scaffold: NBR_contig0012352